GUAUCAGAAGUGCGAAUGCUGACAUAAGUAACGAUAAAGCGGGUGAAAAGCCCGCUCGCCGGAAGACCAAGGGUUCCUGUCCAACGUUAAUCGGGGCAGGGUGAGUCGACCCCUAAGGCGAGGCCGAAAGGCGUAGUCGAUGGGAAACGGGUUAAUAUUCCCGUACUUGGUGUUACUGCGAAGGGGGGACGGAGAAGGCUAUGUUGGCCGGGCGACGGUUGUCCCGGUUUAAGCGUGUAGGUGUGUGUUCCAGGUAAAUCCGGUUCACUUUAACACUGAGGCGUGACGACGAGGCACUACGGUGCUGAAGCAACAAAUGCCCUGCUUCCAGGAAAAGCCUCUAAGCAUCAGGUAACAUCAAAUCGUACCCCAAACCGACACAGGUGGUCAGGUAGAGAAUACCAAGGCGCUUGAGAGAACUCGGGUGAAGGAACUAGGCAAAAUGGUGCCGUAACUUCGGGAGAAGGCACGCUGACACGUAGGUGAAGUGAUUUACUCAUGGAGCUGAAGUCAGUCGAAGAUACCAGCUGGCUGCAACUGUUUAUUAAAAACACAGCACUGUGCAAACACGAAAGUGGACGUAUACGGUGUGACGCCUGCCCGGUGCCGGAAGGUUAAUUGAUGGGGUCAGCGCAAGCGAAGCUCCUGAUCGAAGCCCCGGUAAACGGCGGCCGUAACUAUAACGGUCCUAAGGUAGCGAAAUUCCUUGUCGGGUAAGUUCCGACCUGCACGAAUGGCGUAAUGAUGGCCAGGCUGUCUCCACCCGAGACUCAGUGAAAUUGAACUCGCUGUGAAGAUGCAGUGUACCCGCGGCAAGACGGAAAGACCCCGUGAACCUUUACUAUAGCUUGACACUGAACAUUGAGCCUUGAUGUGUAGGAUAGGUGGGAGGCUUUGAAGUGUGGACGCCAGUCUGCAUGGAGCCGACCUUGAAAUACCACCCUUUAAUGUUUGAUGUUCUAACGUGGACCCGUAAUCCGGGUUGCGGACAGUGUCUGGUGGGUAGUUUGACUGGGGCGGUCUCCUCCUAAAGAGUAACGGAGGAGCACGAAGGUUGGCUAAUCCUGGUCGGACAUCAGGAGGUUAGUGCAAUGGCAUAAGCCAGCUUGACUGCGAGCGUGACGGCGCGAGCAGGUGCGAAAGCAGGUCAUAGUGAUCCGGUGGUUCUGAAUGGAAGGGCCAUCGCUCAACGGAUAAAAGGUACUCCGGGGAUAACAGGCUGAUACCGCCCAAGAGUUCAUAUCGACGGCGGUGUUUGGCACCUCGAUGUCGGCUCAUCACAUCCUGGGGCUGAAGUAGGUCCCAAGGGUAUGGCUGUUCGCCAUUUAAAGUGGUACGCGAGCUGGGUUUAGAACGUCGUGAGACAGUUCGGUCCCUAUCUGCCGUGGGCGCUGGAGAACUGAGGGGGGCUGCUCCUAGUACGAGAGGACCGGAGUGGACGCAUCACUGGUGUUCGGGUUGUCAUGCCAAUGGCACUGCCCGGUAGCUAAAUGCGGAAGAGAUAAGUGCUGAAAGCAUCUAAGCACGAAACUUGCCCCGAGAUGAGUUCUCCCUGAGACUUAGAGUCUCCUGAAGGAACGUUGAAGACGACGACGUUGAUAGGCCGGGUGUGUAAGCGCAGCGAUGCGUUGAGCUAACCGGUACUAAUGAACCGUGAGGCUUAACCUUACA
rnacentral:rRNA from 1 species